rnacentral:rRNA from 1 species
AAUGAACGCUGGCGGCGUGCCUAACACAUGCAAGUCGAGCGAGAAAGUUCCUUCGGGAAUGAGUAAAGCGGCGGACGGUCGAGUAACACGUGAGAAUCUACCCUUUAGUGAAGAAUACCUUCGAGAAAUCGAAAUUAAUACUGCAUAAGUCCCUUCGGGGAGAAAAGUGGCCUCUUUGCUACUGCUAAAAGGAUGAGCUUGCGGACUAUCAGCUAGUUGGUGAGGUAAAGGCUCACCAAGGCUAUGACGGUUAGCCGGCCUGAGAGGGUGAACGGCCAGACUGGAACUUAGACACGGUCCAGACUCCUACGGGAGGCAGCAGUGAGGAAUAUUGCGCAAUGGGCAAAGCCUGACGCAGCGACGCCGCGUGGAGGAUGAAGGUUUUAGGAUCGUAAAACUCCUGUUAAGUGGGAAGAAAAGUCUGUGGUUAAUACCCGCAGAAAAUGACGGUACCAUUAUAGAAAGCACCGGCUAACUACGUGCCAGCAGCCGCGGUAAU